UGUUGUGGAAGUCAUUCAUGUAAGGAGUGUAGUAAGAUGAAUGUGAAAUUUUACCCAGGUUUUGUUCCUCUUGAGAGGGAAAGAAAAUAAUAAUAAUAAUAAUAAUAAUAAUAAUAAUAAUAAUAAUAAUAAUAAUAAAGAGUCUAGCCCAUAAAUCUUGCCCUUACUCACCUCUGGACAUCUUAUGUGUCAGAGACAAACUUGGAACUGUGAGCACCUGACCUAAGAAAAGAGCUCUUCCCUUCGCAGGAGCAUCAAGAAGCUGGAAAUAAAAAGGAUUUCACAUCCCCAGGACCUCUGCGUGGUGCUGAAGAGAAAAACCCUGCAAGAUCUGGAAGACAUUUGUAGGACAGAGCCUGCGUCGUGUACACUGGCUGAGUUGUCAUUGCUUUCCCCAGAGCUUGCUAAAUCAGGACAAGACUCGCUCAGUGCUCCCUCACUAGAUGAUAAUUAUAUUUGAAUAUUAAACAUCCACCCGGCUUACACAAGUUCCCUGAUUAACAAAGCACUCAGGUUUAUCCCCAUGCAGCAGAAGAGACUUGAUUUCAGUUUGAUGAACAGGCACCUAAAUUUAGGUGUGUGCUGAUGGACCUGGCUGGAUGAGGGUUGUGUGAGCAGAAAGGCAAUUUUACCAGUUGCUGGGUUUUCACAACAUGCUUGCAGGCAAAGCAAGUAAUCACUUCUCUGUGUGAUGUGGAACUGGGCUGGGUGCCACUGGUUACUUCAGGAAGCUGACAGAGAUAUUGCCUGAUUAUUCAGUACCAUUCCAGAUGCUUCACAUGCCUUUGGGACUUACACAGAGGAAACAAGCCAAAUUGCAGAAGUCUUGAUACCCUCCUUCAGAUCAAAAAUGCUGGUCGCUGCACAGCCCCAGAACCUCUAACUCCAAACCUGCAUAAUCAGAAGAAAACCAUCCCACCUGCCUGUACAGCUGGCUUGAAAAAUAAGGUGCACACUACAAGACCCUCAACAAUGGUUGUCUCUUCUCCCAGGAUGUACCCAGUGUGUGCUCACGCCUGUCUGCCUGCAGUCUUCCUUCAGCAAAAGCAGCCUGUAAUUCUGCCUGCACCCUGCCCUUCUCCGAAAACACUGAAAGCACAUGUUUAUGCUGUGGCAGCAUUGCUCUGUGGCAUGUCCCAAGUGCCCAC
rnacentral:lncRNA from 1 species